rnacentral:misc_RNA from 1 species
AGCAGCCGCGGUAAUUCCAGCUCCAAUAGCGUAUAUUAAAGUUGCUGCAGUUAAAAAGCUCGUAGUUGAAUUUCGGGAUCAAUAUGUUGGUCGUGCCUCGGUACGUACUAGCUUAUUGGUUUCUUCCUUCUGACGAACCAUAAUGUCAUUUAUUUGGUGUUAUGGGGAAUCAGGACUGUUACUUUGAAAAAUUAGAGUGUUUAAAGCAGGCUCACGCUUGAAUACAUUAGCAUGGAAUAAUGAAAUAGGACGUUUGAUUCUAUUUUGUUGGUUUCUAGGAUCGACGUAAUGAUUAAUAGGGAUAGUUGGGGGCAUUAGUAUUCAAUUGUCAGAGGUGAAAUUCUUGGGUUUAUUGAAGACUAACUACUGCGAAAGCAUUUGCCAAGGAUGUUUUCAUUAAUCAAGAACGAAAGUUAGGGGAUCGAAGACGAUCAGAUACCGUCGUAGUCUUAACCAUAAACUAUGCCGACUAGGGAUCGGAUGAUGUUAAUUUUUAAUGUACUCAUUCGGCGCCUUAAC